CAACGAUCAAUCUCAUCUGCCUCAAAAAUAAUAUUAAUAAAAAUACUGUACUUCAUGACUCUAUUCUAGCAUCACGAUGUCAAAUAAUGGCUACAUUUGCUAUGCGAGUAUUUAAAAUCAUUCAUCAAUUUAAGUUCCUCCUUUGUGGGUUCAAUGUGACCACACCACACUUACCAGAGGGAACCCAUAUUGAGGAAAUGAAAGCAACAUCAAACUACAAUAUAAAUAAGUAUCUCAAAUACAAAUUUCCUGUCAUAGAAAUGUCAAUUAAUGAAUGAUUAAGAUUGGAGGCUCCAUUUUCAUGAUUUGAUUCCUUCUUCAAAGUGUCACACUUGGAAAUUUGCAAGAUCCAUAACCUACGAAAGUUCACAAAAGAAAAUAAAAACACAAAGCAUGGCCUUAAAUAAAAAUUAAAUAUUACUUUAACAUUUUUUUUAUCUGAAAACUUCAGAAAAUGAAUGACCGGAAGUGGUGUUUACAAAGUUAGCAUAUGACAUGUUAUUUAUAUCAUCAGUAAAUAACAUGUCAUUAACCCAC
rnacentral:lncRNA from 1 species